GGAACACAAACCGGCAUCCGCGCAUCAGGAAACACAGGUGGUUUGGCUCAGUGAAGUGGAAGCGUCUGGCUCUGCGGCAGGUUGAUGCUCCUACCCUGGCGCUGAUGAAGCAGGGCCCGCCCUACGCCAACUUCAAGCACUUCUCGGUGGACUGGACGCCGGCUGAGGAGGAGUUCUCGGGCUGGGAUGAGGAUUUCUGAGGGCCGUGGGGCCCAGGGCAGCAGCACCCCAAGGACUGGGGGGUGGGGGACACUCUGCUGGUGGCUGCUGCCCUGGUGUGGAGCUGGGCAUGUGCCCGCGGGAGGACAGGUUCCUGGGCUGCUCUUAGCCCUGGGCACGGGGCCCCAGCCUGGCAGACCCGCUGGCAGGAAGCGGAGGGCCCUGGGCCUGUUCCUGAAAGCAGCUGCAUGAGGGUGCAGGGUGCCAGGCUGGCGCUCUGGCCACCCUGGGGCGUGGCCAGCAGGGGCUGGCUGUGGGAGCUUCACCGUGCCAGGCCCCAUUGGGCUGUGGGCAA